rnacentral:misc_RNA from 1 species
AACUUUCGACAAUGGAUCACUUGGCUCUCGCAUCGAUGAAGAACGCAGCGAAUUGCGAUAAGUAAUGUGAAUUGUAGAUUUUCAGUGAAUCAUCGAAUCUUUGAACGCACCUUGCACCCUUUGGUAUUCCGAAGGGUAUGCUCGUUUGAGUGUCAUUGUACUCUCACACUCUCUGAUCUUUUUGGAUUCAGAGAGCGGUGGACUUGGGUGUUUGCUGCUUACCUUGCAGCUCACCUCAAAUGCGUCAGUGCAUCUCUUGGUUGGACAUAGUACGGCGUGAUAAGUAUCUUCGCCGGCACCUCGCAAGAGGGUGGCCGAUUGGGAGCUCUGUGCUUUCAAACCGUCUUCGGACAACUUUUGACAACUUGACCUCAAAUCGAGUAGGACUACCCGCUGAACUUAAGCAUAUCAAUAAGCGGAGGCU